GGUCAGAUGAAGAGUAUAAAACUGCAACAAUAUGAUGGGAUUGCUUUCCUGUGAUUCCCUUGUUUUAAGUCUCUGAUGACC
rnacentral:snoRNA from 1 species